GGGGCUGAUCGGUUUCGACGGUGGUCGUGCUUCGAGGGGAAGCGGGCCGAGGAUGCAGACUUAUCUCGUUAACGAUGUCUGUAAACCAAUAGUUGCCGAUAACACGCGCAACGACUUCGCCCUCGCCGCCUGAGGCGAGCCUGAAGUCCGUCGGUCCGAGGGUGCUCUCACCUCGGUCACCGGCGUCAUCUUGAGAGCCACUGCUUGUGGUCCACGUCAUCGGGACCACAGGGACUUCUAGGUGACUGAGCCCGUCCGUGAAUGUGUCUGCGCAAGCACGGGGGCCGAGAAAAUCCAUAGCAGACUGCGCCCGGAGAAGUCCUCGAAAAGUGACACCGGACCCGGGUUCGAUUCCCGGCAGCUCCACGA
rnacentral:tmRNA from 1 species